AUUGAACGCUGGCGGCAGGCCUAACACAUGCAAGUCGAACGAGCGGCGGACGGGUGAGUAAUGUAUGGGAAACUGCCCGAUGGAGGGGGAUAACUACUGGAAACGGUAGCUAAUACCGCAUACCAUCGGAUGUGCCCAUAUGGGAUUAGCUAGUAGGUGGGGUAACGGCUCAACUAGGCGACGAUCCCUAGCUGGUAUGAGAGGAUGAACAGCCACACUGGAACUGAGACACGGCCCAGACUCCUACGGGAGGCAGCAGUGGGGAAUAUUGCACAAUGGGCGCAAGCCUGAUGCAGCCAUGCCGCGUGUAUGAAGAAGGCCUUCGGGUUGUAAAGUACUUUAAGCGAGGAGGCGUUACUCGCAGAAGAAGCACCGGCUAACUCCGUGCCAGCAGCCGCGGUAAUAC
rnacentral:rRNA from 1 species